rnacentral:tRNA from 1 species
UGGGUUGUGGCCUAGUGGAAAGGUGUUUGGCCGUUAACCAAAAGAUAACAAGAUCAAUACUUGUCAACUCAG